UACGAAGGGGGCUAGCGUUGUUCGGAAUUACUGGGCGUAAAGCGCGCGUAGGCGGCUUUGCAAGCCAGAGGUGAAAUGCCUGAGCUCAACUCAGGAAUGGCCUUUGGGACUGCGAGGCUUUGAGGACUGGAGAGGUGAGUGGAAUUCCCAGUGUAGAGGUGAAAUUCGUAGAUAUUGGGAAGAACACCGGUGGCGAAGGCGGCAUCCUGGACCGGCAUUGACGCUGAGGAGCGAAAGCUAGGGGAGCAAACGGG
rnacentral:rRNA from 1 species